AGCAUGUGGUGAUGCCAUUGUUACAGAGGUUCCUGCCAAACAACGGAACCCAAAUUCCUCAAGAGAUUAAAUUGGCUUUCCACGAAGUGUUCCAUCUGGAUCAUGUGGAUGGCGUGGAUGAUGAGGAUGAGGACGAUGAAACCCCUGAUAUCCAGGAACUCUGUAGCAUCACAUUUGACAAGAGACCUUGCGGGCUAACCGACGCGGUGGAAAACAUAGCCAAUGUUUUGC